UCCGAAAAUCCCAUUUUCCUCCCCAAAUUCGCUCUGUUCUCUCUCCUCCCUACCCGCGUGACCCGACCCGAACCCGGUGUACCGACCCGGUUCGAUCUCCUCCGUCCAACGUCCGCCGACGACGAGACCACUGCAGACGGCUUCGCCUCCUCCUCGCCGUCGUCCCCUUGGUGCUCGAUCACGGCAGCAGCGACCGGAACUUGGAGAUCGGAGCAGCCACAGACCCUAAAACGGAUCCGGCCGGAUUUCACCUAUUCCGGUAUCCCCUUGGCCGAUCCAUUCAAUUUUUGGGAUCGUCUCUUUCCCCUGAUCAUCCUCAUACCUACCAUGUAGGACGAUUUUGCAUGAGGAGUGAUUGAUCAAGGUUUGAAGCUUUUGACGGUUCUGGUUGGAUCUGGGGUCUGAUCAGACGCACGAGAUUGAUCCAACUUCCAAGCUUGAUCUAGGACGAUCUAGACCGAAUCUCACUUAGCUCCAGGUGACUGACGAUUUUGGUUGGGUGGACGGUUGUGAUGGUGAUUUUGUGCUUGUCUUGGUUUGUGUGAAGACGCAGCAGGAUUUGGAGGGGUUAUUGUGCAGGUUAGAAUAUCAGGUGAUCGUUAUCGAAGCUGAGGUGGACUUUCCGUCACGUGGUGUAGAAGGGCGCUUAUUCUUGUAGUCUUCCGCUGUGUAGUGAGUUGGUAAGAGAGGUUGCAUGUUGAAUUGAUAUUCAGUUUAAUUUGUAAACUAUUGUAAUGUAAUAUGCGACUCUAAAGAACGAGUCGGUAUUGACAUUGUGAG